rnacentral:rRNA from 1 species
GAUUAAGUUAUUAAGGGCGCACGGUGGAUGCCUUGGCACUAGAAGCCGAUGAAGGACGUUACUAACGACGAUAUGCUUUGGGGAGCUGUAAGUAAGCUUUGAUCCAGAGAUUUCCGAAUGGGGAAACCCAGCAUGAGUUAUGUCAUGUUAUCGAUAUGUGAAUACAUAGCAUAUCAGAAGGCACACCCGGAGAACUGAAACAUCUUAGUACCCGGAGGAAGAGAAAGAAAAUUCGAUUCCCUUAGUAGCGGCGAGCGAAACGGGAAGAGCCCAAACCAACAAGCUUGCUUGUUGGGGUUGUAGGACACUCUAUACGGAGUUACAAAGGACGACAUUAGACGAAUCAUCUGGAAAGAUGAAUCAAAGAAGGUAAUAAUCCUGUAGUCGAAAAUGUUGUCUCUCUUGAGUGGAUCCUGAGUACGACGGAGCACGUGAAAUUCCGUCGGAAUCUGGGAGGACCAUCUCCUAAGGCUAAAUACUCUCUAGUGACCGAUAGUGAACCAGUACCGUGAGGGAAAGGUGAAAAGCACCCCGGAAGGGGAGUGAAAUAGAACCUGAAACCGUGUGCUUACAAGUAGUCAGAGCCCGUUAAUGGGUGAUGGCGUGCCUUUUGUAGAAUGAACCGGCGAGUUACGAUUUGAUGCAAGGUUAAGCAGUAAAUGUGGAGCCGUAGCGAAAGCGAGUCUGAAUAGGGCGUUUAGUAUUUGGUCGUAGACCCGAAACCAGGUGAUCUACCCUUGGUCAGGUUGAAGUUCAGGUAACACUGAAUGGAGGACCGAACCGACUUACGUUGAAAAGUGAGCGGAUGAACUGAGGGUAGCGGAGAAAUUCCAAUCGAACCUGGAGAUAGCUGGUUCUCUCCGAAAUAGCUUUAGGGCUAGCCUCAAGUGAUGAUUAUUGGAGGUAGAGCACUGUUUGGACGAGGGGCCCCUCUCGGGUUACCGAAUUCAGACAAACUCCGAAUGCCAAUUAAUUUAACUUGGGAGUCAGAACAUGGGUGAUAAGGUCCGUGUUCGAAAGGGAAACAGCCCAGACCACCAGCUAAGGUCCCAAAAUAUAUGUUAAGUGGAAAAGGAUGUGGCGUUGCCCAGACAACUAGGAUGUUGGCUUAGAAGCAGCCAUCAUUUAAAGAGUGCGUAAUAGCUCACUAGUCGAGUGACACUGCGCCGAAAAUGUACCGGGGCUAAACAUAUUACCGAAGCUGUGGAUUGUCCUUUGGACAAUGGUAGGAGAGCGUUCUAAGGGCGUUGAAGCAUGAUCGUAAGGACAUGUGGAGCGCUUAGAAGUGAGAAUGCCGGUGUGAGUAGCGAAAGACGGGUGAGAAUCCCGUCCACCGAUUGACUAAGGUUUCCAGAGGAAGGCUCGUCCGCUCUGGGUUAGUCGGGUCCUAAGCUGAGGCCGACAGGCGUAGGCGAUGGAUAACAGGUUGAUAUUCCUGUACCACCUAUAAUCGUUUUAAUCGAUGGGGGGACGCAGUAGGAUAGGCGAAGCGUGCGAUUGGAUUGCACGUCUAAGCAGUAAGGCUGAGUAUUAGGCAAAUCCGGUACUCGUUAAGGCUGAGCUGUGAUGGGGAGAAGACAUUGAGUCUUCGAGUCGUUGAUUUCACACUGCCGAGAAAAGCCUCUAGAUAGAAAAUAGGUGCCCGUACCGCAAACCGACACAGGUAGUCAAGAUGAGAAUUCUAAGGUGAGCGAGCGAACUCUCGUUAAGGAACUCGGCAAAAUGACCCCGUAACUUCGGGAGAAGGGGUGCUCUUUAGGGUUAACGCCCAGAAGAGCCGCAGUGAAUAGGCCCAAGCGACUGUUUAUCAAAAACACAGGUCUCUGCUAAACCGUAAGGUGAUGUAUAGGGGCUGACGCCUGCCCGGUGCUGGAAGGUUAAGAGGAGUGGUUAGCUUCUGCGAAGCUACGAAUCGAAGCCCCAGUAAACGGCGGCCGUAACUAUAACGGUCCUAAGGUAGCGAAAUUCCUUGUCGGGUAAGUUCCGACCCGCACGAAAGGCGUAACGAUUUGGGCACUGUCUCAACGAGAGACUCGGUGAAAUCAUAGUACCUGUGAAGAUGCAGGUUACCCGCGACAGGACGGAAAGACCCCGUGGAGCUUUACUGUAGCCUGAUAUUGAAAUUCGGCACAGCUUGUACAGGAUAGGUAGGAGCCUUUGAAACGUGAGCGCUAGCUUACGUGGAGGCGCUGGUGGGAUACUACCCUAGCUGUGUUGGCUUUCUAACCCGCACCACUUAUCGUGGUGGGAGACAGUGUCAGGCGGGCAGUUUGACUGGGGCGGUCGCCUCCUAAAAGGUAACGGAGGCGCUCAAAGGUUCCCUCAGAAUGGUUGGAAAUCAUUCAUAGAGUGUAAAGGCAUAAGGGAGCUUGACUGCGAGACCUACAAGUCGAGCAGGGUCGAAAGACGGACUUAGUGAUCCGGUGGUUCCGCAUGGAAGGGCCAUCGCUCAACGGAUAAAAGCUACCCCGGGGAUAACAGGCUUAUCUCCCCCAAGAGUUCACAUCGACGGGGAGGUUUGGCACCUCGAUGUCGGCUCAUCGCAUCCUGGGGCUGUAGUCGGUCCCAAGGGUUGGGCUGUUCGCCCAUUAAAGCGGUACGCGAGCUGGGUUCAGAACGUCGUGAGACAGUUCGGUCCCUAUCCGUCGUGGGCGUAGGAAAUUUGAGAGGAGCUGUCCUUAGUACGAGAGGACCGGGAUGGACAUACCUCUGGUGUACCAGUUGUCGUGCCAACGGCAUAGCUGGGUAGCUAUGUGUGGAUGGGAUAAGUGCUGAAAGCAUCUAAGCAUGAAGCCCCCCUCAAGAUGAGAUUUCCCAACUUCGGUUAUAAGAUCCCUCAAAGAUGAUGAGGUUAAUAGGUUCGAGGUAGAAGCAUGGUGACAUGUGGAGCUGACGAAUACUAAUCGAUCGAAGACUUAAUCAA